rnacentral:rRNA from 1 species
AUUGAACGCUGGCGGCAUGCCUUACACAUGCAAGUCGAACGGUAACACGUUAUCGGCUGCUGCCGACUGGCGGAGGGUUGAGUACUACUUCGGAACAUGCCCAGAUCUGGGGGAUAGCGGGGCGAAAGCUAGGCUAAUACCCCAUACGACCUAAGGCUGCAAACGGGGGACCGCAAGGGCUCGCCCGACCUGGGCCGACGGUGGGAGACGAUGUCGGUUUAGGUAGUUGGUGGGGUAAAGGCUUACCAAGGCGACGAUCUGUAGCUGGUCUGAGAGGACGAUCAGCCACACUGGGACUGAGACACGGCCCAGACUCCUACGGGAGGCAGCAGUGGGGAAUAUUGGACAAUGGGCGAAAGCCUGAUCCAGCAAUGCCGCGUGGAGGAUGAAGGCCUUCGGGUUGUAAACUGCUUUUGUUCGGAACGAAAAGGAUCUGGCUAAUACCUGGGGCACAUGACGGUACCGAAAGAAUAAGCACCGGCUAACUUCGUG